CGGGGUGGAAAUGCCCCAUGAUCAGGCAGACCAAGCUAGCUAGCACCGCCGUGCGGCAGUGCAGCGACCCGCGGGGGUUGCCCCGGAGCUCCCUGCGGUUCACCUCCUUGCCUCACGCUUACCAUUGACGUCGAAUCACCAAGUACGUUUCAGCAUAUGAAACAUACCAAUCAGGAGGACGUAGGGAGAUUGCUAAGCUUGCUAGUCGUCUUGUCGGGUGUAGUCGUUUGUGUGGAAAGCCAAAUGGCCGUCAAUGUGUUGAAGCAAGAUGAGCCUUCGAGAACCACCUAGAGUGAUAAAGCUCCACACGGCGCACUUGCUAAUGCAAGCGUGUCAUAUCGAUCGCCACCAAGAGGGCGACUGAGUCAAUUUCCAUGCGCUCUCGUUCCAGGACACACGAGCGGUUCGACAGGAGCAGCGUUGCCGACAUACUCACACACACACAUACGCAGACACACCACACACAAACACAGACACAGGCACAGACACGCACGCCGGCCUCUGAGUGUGGUUUGUUCCAUCGCGUUCCAUACAGGAGGUUUGGAUCAUGCAAAAUUCGCGUGUAAAAUCCCGUAAAGGUGGG
rnacentral:lncRNA from 1 species